UAUUUUAAAAUUUGAUCAUUUUUAGUGAUGGUGAAGGUAUGAAAAAAGGUCAACUCUUAAAGAUUAUUGGUGAAAUUAUAAAGAUAUACAGCCUUUCUGGAGGCAAUUUGGAAGUACUAUCAGAAUUUUAAAUGUGCCUACCCUUUGAACAGGCUUUAUUCUAAAUAUCUGUCAUGGAGAAAUUCUCACACACAUACGCGAAUGUAUGUAUACAAGAGUGUUAGUUGCACCAUUUUAUUACCAAAAAAAUUGAGAACCACCUAAAUGUCUGUAGCAGAGUAUGGCGGACCCAUAUGAUAAACACCAUGCACCAUGGUGAAAAAUGAGCUACGUCUAUAAUACACUAAUAUGAAAAGACAUCCACUGUGUAUUACGUGAAAAAUGCACAUUGCCUAUAUAUAUUCUGAGGCCAUUUUGGUAAAAAUAAAAUAUCCAAACCACUAUAUAAUUAACAAUUUUACCUUCUUGCUGGUUUGUUUUUUUUUUUUAAAUGAACUUUUGAUUGAUUGGAGUAAAACAUACAGACAGGAAAUUACACAGGGAACACAUCUGUGUUACCACAAACCAGAUCAAGAAAUAGAACCAUUCUCUAGGAGUCUGGAGCACAAGAAAAAGGUCUGGGCUGAGAUAAAGACUUGGGAGUUAGCAUAGGAAAGUAAUUGAAUAGUUGUCGAAAUUGGGUAAAGGCUCCCAAGGAAGAGGCAUAAAGUGAAAAAUAGGGAAGACUGAUUGAAGGGGUGGGGAGAGUAAACUGGGUCUGCGAAGGAGACUGGGCAGCAUGCCAGAGGUAAGAACACCAGGAAAGUCAUCCACCACCUGAGACGGUCUGACCGUGUCCAGCUGCAGAGCCCAGGAGUGGUCCAGGUGCCCCAGGCGGGACUCCUUACCUGGGUACUGUCUGUCCUAUGAUCCUGUCACUCGGGCCACAAGUGAUUGAACGAGAGAUCCAUGCCCAAGGCCCUCUGGGUGCUCCGACAUUGGCCAGUGAGUGCCACACCCACUGACCUUCCUCUCUCUUUGGAUCACAGACACAGAGGGAUACAGAGGAGUAAAUCGACACAGAAACGGAAACAGAGAAGGCAGUAACAGAAGUGUGCCUGGGAAGAAACCCCACAGUGGAGAUGAGAGGCCAAAGAGUGGGUAGGGCGAAUGAGGAAAAGCAGCAAAGUGUACUCCCUCACAGAGAGGCAGAGAAGUGCGUUAGAACCCUGGGGAAGCAAGCUGGGAACCUCCCUCGAAGCCUGUCUGUUUCACUGUGCUCUCCUUAUCAUAGACACCUGCCACAGGUAACCCAGGAGUGACGUCUAAGGCUGCUCGGUCAGCAGUGGCGUGCUGGAGGCCUGGGACAAAGUGCCCGAGUCACAUUUCUUAUCACAUCCUUUUCAUUUCCCCCAGGGUUUGGCAUUUCCCCUUUUCUGAUUGGCUGCCUCCCCAGGGCCUGGGCCUCAGUGCUGGUGGCCCUCUGGGGGUCGGGAGCGCAUAAAUAGUUCCUGCUGGGGAAACUGGGAAACUGGUCUCAGACAAGAGGAACAGACAUCUCUGCCACGCACUGCUGCCUGGAGCUGCAUGAGGUCCCAGUGCUGCCAGCGUGUCUUCUGUGUAUAGCCCCAUGCACCUCUGCCUCAGCCACAGCCCUUCCCCGCAGCAGCUCCCGCGGCCUGGCCUGGUAGAGCUGCAGUCCCAGGCCUCCUUCUACUCCUUCCUGGUACGACUGCAUGAACCCCAGAGACCCAAGAAGCGAGUAGUGUUUGCAGACACGAAGGGGAUCUCGUUGACAUCCGUGUACAAGUUUGAAGAUGCUGUGGGCAGACACGUGUCCCAUGUUCAGUUUCCUGCGCCCUGAGCCACCUGGCUGGCCAGAGCCACCACCUACGCUCUGGGCUUCCCCGCACCCAGGCAGGGUUCGGGGGUUCCAGAGGCGCCUGCAGGUGCAGAGUGUGCGCCCGGAGCAGCGUGCUGGGCAGGGGGCUUCCUGCGAGGCGCUGUCUAGCAGGCAGGCUGGGUUCCAGAAGGCAAGGCAGAUGCGCAUCACCUUUGAUGUCAGGGCUCCUUCCAAGAAGUGCCUAGUGUUCACACGGCCAGUCCUUGCAGAAGCGAGACUGACAGCUUCGCCUUCCAAGCCAUGUUGCCACUAGGUCCCCCAGGCCGGUGGGCACCAUUCAGUUCUGCUUCUGUUGUUGGGGAAAACAAUCAAGGGCAAACCUGUUGUUUGGUGCCCAGUUCUCAGUCACGCUCAUCACAAUGUAAGUGAGCUCUGUGAGGGCCCACAGACAGGGUGAGCCGUCUGUGGUUACAUUUUCUGCAGAGGCGAAGCUUGAAUUCCUCACCCAGGAUGUGCUAUUCCUAUCGCUUCUGGAACUUUAUUCAGACUCUUCUUUCUCCUGAAUUCACAGUGGGGAGACAGGAGGGACACAACUCCCAGCCCCCAGAAAGCCUUGAAUGCUUUGCAUUCUUCUCUCACAAGGGGAGCCCACUUCCUGACCAAAGGGCUGAAAUUUCCUUUAGGGAGAUGCUGGGAAUGGCGCCCUUUACCCUUUGCAGAGGAGCCUUUGGAGUGUGGAAACAGAAGAAAUGUAAAUAAAGCUUUUAUGUGUCAUUAUUUAA